GGAGGGGUGGCAGAGCGGUUGAAUGCGGCGGUCUCGAAAACCGUUUCGGGGGAGAUUCCUCCGACGAGGGUUCGAAUCCCUCCCCCUCCG
rnacentral:tRNA from 1 species